CCGGUUUAGUCAUUCGCUGUCUUCGGAGGAAAGCACCGUUUCUCAGCUUGGCUUGUUUUCUUAUUGGGCCAUCAGGAACUUAAUCUCAGUCAAAGUAAAAUCAAGUCGAAGGAUUAAAUUUCUUCCGCUCAAGGCUAGCUUUUGGGAAAUCAUAAGAUCGGGUUUUUUAAAGGAUAGUGCGACACAAAUCGUUGAUCCACCAACCAGUCCUGAAGAGGAGGAAGAGAUCUUACCUCUUUAAGAAGCCUGAGUUCUCUCUUGAUCCUUCUUUUCCACGGUUUCACCUUGCUGGUUAAGUGCAAAGCAAUGGAGGUGGAGGGACAUGAUGAUAUGACUCCGGAAUUGGAAUUUUCUGACCAUGAAAAUGAAGAAGAGGCACCCCCUAGUACGAGUGCCAUGAGUAAGGUACCUGGUUCUCAUCUUCCUCAGGAUAAGAAAUAUACAUCAGAAUGUUGGAAUCAUUAUAGAAGAAUCAAUGAUAAGGAUGGAAAACCAAUUCAAGUGAAGUGCAUACAUUGUGGGACAAUACUUACGUAUCGUGUUGCUAACGGUACUUCUGCGAUGAGGAAGCACUUGACCACAUGUAGGAGGUUUCCCCGUAAUGUAGAUA